CCUACGGAGGCUGCAGUGGGGAAUAUUGGACAAUGGGGGGAACCCUGAUCCAGCCAUGCCGCGUGUGUGAAGAAGGCCCUCGGGUUGUAAAGCACUUUCAGUGAGGAAGAACGCCUGGUGGUUAAUACCCAUCAGGAAAGACAUCACUCACAGAAGAAGCACCGGCUAACUCCGUGCCAGCAGCCGCGGUAAUACGGAGGGUGCGAGCGUUAAUCGGAAUUACUGGGCGUAAAGCGCGCGUAGGUGGCUUGAUAAGCCGGUUGUGAAAGCCCCGGGCUCAACCUGGGAACGGCAUCCGGAACUGUCAAGCUAGAGUGCAGGAGAGGAAGGUAGAAUUCCCGGUGUAGCGGUGAAAUGCGUAGAGAUCGGGAGGAAUACCAAUGGCGAAGGCGGCCUUCUGGACUGACACUGACACUGAGGUGCGAAAGCGUGGGUAGCAAACAGGAUUAGAUACCCUUGUAGUC
rnacentral:rRNA from 1 species